rnacentral:rRNA from 1 species
AGGACGAACGCUGGCGGCGUGCCUAAUACAUGCAAGUCGAACGAACUCUGGUAUUGAUUGGUGCUUGCAUCAUGAUUUACAUUUGAGUGAGUGGCGAACUGGUGAGUAACACGUGGGAAACCUGCCCAGAAGCGGGGGAUAACACCUGGAAACAGAUGCUAAUACCGCAUAACAACUUGGACCGCAUGGUCCGAGUUUGAAAGAUGGCUUCGGCUAUCACUUUUGGAUGGUCCCGCGGCGUAUUAGCUAGAUGGUGAGGUAACGGCUCACCAUGGCAAUGAUACGUAGCCGACCUGAGAGGGUAAUCGGCCACAUUGGGACUGAGACACGGCCCAAACUCCUACGGGAGGCAGCAGUAGGGAAUCUUCCACAAUGGACGAAAGUCUGAUGGAGCAACGCCGCGUGAGUGAAGAAGGGUUUCGGCUCGUAAAACUCUGUUGUUAAAGAAGAACAUAUCUGAGAGUAACUGUUCAGGUAUUGACGGUAUUUAACCAGAAAGCCACGGCUAACUACGUGCCAGCAGCCGCGGUAAUACGUAGGUGGCAAGCGUUGUCCGGAUUUAUUGGGCGUAAAGCGAGCGCAGGCGGUUUUUUAAGUCUGAUGUGAAAGCCUUCGGCUCAACCGAAGAAGUGCAUCGGAAACUGGGAAACUUGAGUGCAGAAGAGGACAGUGGAACUCCAUGUGUAGCGGUGAAAUGCGUAGAUAUAUGGAAGAACACCAGUGGCGAAGGCGGCUGUCUGGUCUGUAACUGACGCUGAGGCUCGAAAGUAUGGGUAGCAAACAGGAUUAGAUACCCUGGUAGUCCAUACCGUAAACGAUGAAUGCUAAGUGUUGGAGGGUUUCCGCCCUUCAGUGCUGCAGCUAACGCAUUAAGCAUUCCGCCUGGGGAGUACGGCCGCAAGGCUGAAACUCAAAGGAAUUGACGGGGGCCCGCACAAGCGGUGGAGCAUGUGGUUUAAUUCGAAGCUACGCGAAGAACCUUACCAGGUCUUGACAUACUAUGCAAAUCUAAGAGAUUAGACGUUCCCUUCGGGGACAUGGAUACAGGUGGUGCAUGGUUGUCGUCAGCUCGUGUCGUGAGAUGUUGGGUUAAGUCCCGCAACGAGCGCAACCCUUAUUAUCAGUUGCCAGCAUUAAGUUGGGCACUCUGGUGAGACUGCCGGUGACAAACCGGAGGAAGGUGGGGAUGACGUCAAAUCAUCAUGCCCCUUAUGACCUGGGCUACACACGUGCUACAAUGGAUGGUACAACGAGUUGCGAACUCGCGAGAGUAAGCUAAUCUCUUAAAGCCAUUCUCAGUUCGGAUUGUAGGCUGCAACUCGCCUACAUGAAGUCGGAAUCGCUAGUAAUCGCGGAUCAGCAUGCCGCGGUGAAUACGUUCCCGGGCCUUGUACACACCGCCCGUCACACCAUGAGAGUUUGUAACACCCAAAGUCGGUGGGGUAACCUUUUAGGAA